AGGAUGAGACUGCGUCCGAUUAGGUAGUUGGUGGGGUAACGGCCCACCAAGCCUGUCAUCGGUACGGGUUGUGGGAGCAAGAUCCCGGAGAUGGAUUCUGAGACAUGAAUCCAGGCCCUACGGGGCGCAGCAGGCGCGCAAACUUUACAAUGCGAGCAAUCGUGAUAAGGAAACCCUGAGUGCCUGUUGAUGCAGGCUGUUCAUUAGUUUAAAUUGCUAGUGAAGAAAGGGCAGGGCAAGACCGGUGCCAGCCGCCGCGGUAAUACCGGCUGCUCGAGUGAUGGCCACUAUUACUGGGUUUAAAGCGUCCGUAGCUUGAUUGUUAGGUCUCUUGGGAAAUCUUCAGGCUUAACCUUAAGGCAUCUAAGAGAUACCGGCAAUCUUGGGACUGGGAGAGGUAAACCGUACUUCGGGGGUAGGAGUGAAAUCUUGUAAUCCUCGAGGGACGACCUAUGGCGAAGGCAGUUUACCAGAACAGCUUCGACAGUGAGGGACGAAAGCUGGGGGAGCAAACGGGAUUAGAUACCCCGGUAGUCCCAGCCGUAAACAAUGUGCGUUAGGUGUAUCGGCAACCACGCGUUACUGAUGCGCCGCAGAGAAAUCGUGAAACGCACCACCUGGGAAGUAUGGUCGCAAGGCUGAAACUUAAAGGAAUUGGCGGGGGAGCACCACAACAGGUGGAGCCUGCGGUUUAAUUGGAUU
rnacentral:rRNA from 1 species